GAACGCACAUUGCGCCCCCUGGUAUUCCGGGGGGGCAUGCCUGUUCGAGCGUCAUUUCACCACUCAAGUCUCGCUUGGUAUUGGGCAACGCGGUCCGCCGCGUGCCUCAAAUCGUCCGGCUGGGUCUUCUGUCCCCUAAGCGUUGUGGAAACUAUUCGCUAAAGGGUGUUCGGGAGGCUACGCCGUAAAACAACCCCAUUUCUAAGGUUGACCUCGGAUCAGGUAGGGAUACCCGCUGAACUUAAG
rnacentral:misc_RNA from 1 species